AGUCCUUCCCAGGAGGGUGUGAGCUGAGGUCUCCUGGGUACACCAGCCAGCCCACGGCACAGAGCCUGCCUGUUGGUCUCUACCCACAGGGGAUCCCCUGCUGCUCCACCAUCAGAUUUGGGACACCACCCCCCCCCCGGCCCCACCAGAGGGCAUCAGCUAUGCCUAGAAGGGGACCACAACAGACUCGACAGGAUCCACCGGUUGGGCCCAAGGCAGGAGGAAGGGCGGCGCCCCCAAACUCCCAGGACGCCUGCAGCACCCCCCACGCGCCGCUCUCCGCCUCUGGGGAGCAUCCUGCCACCCCCCGACACACACACCCCGGCUACAUCCCGCCUUCUCACGCUUGGUCAGGCGCUCUGGAGAUGUCGGAGAUCCAGGCUUUUCCUAAAGAGUCAGGAUUGGAAGGCGGACUCCCACCGUUUGCUGAGCUCCACAUGACAACAGCAGACGACAGGCCGCACUGAUCCCACCUGGCUUACAGGUGCUGUCACACAGAUCUACGUCUAUAUAUCUAUAUUCCAUUAGCCCUGUCUCUCUGGAGAACCCUGACUAGUACAGAGAGGAUCACGAGUAAGCAAGCAGGGCACUGACCUUGGAUGGGCCACUUGACCUCACAGGGGUCUGGUUUUCUGGAGACAAACACCACACAGUGAUGGAGAGAACCUCGUGACAGAGCCUUGCCCAGGUGCACGUGGGGCGGAGUUCAUCACAGCGCUGGCUGGUUUGUUGAAAAGGAGGCCCGGCGGCUGUUCACUGUCUUGACAAACAGCCAGAGAGGCAGGGGAACCCUACACUGUAUACUUUUCUCAGUAAUAAACCAAGCUAUUCAUGAA
rnacentral:lncRNA from 1 species